GCUGUAUGAAGUGCAAUUGGCUCCAUGUGGUAAGAUGAGGCUAUGCCCCCUCCUCUGUUUUCUCUCAGCUCUUGCCUUCCUCUAUCUCUCAGCUUCUGACAUUCAUCCUUUCACUUUAGUAUUGCCAAGAACAUCUUAGGCAAGGUUUUCAAUCAAUGCAACCGAGAUUCCCCUCCUCUGAUCCCCACACUCUGCCCCCAAGUAAAUUCUUUAAGGGGGCAAUUUUCCCAACCAUGUGGCCUUUCAUGGGGAAGAGGGGAGUCCAGCCCUCCUAUGAGGCAAGGGAAGCUGGGGGUCUUUCUCUCCUUUCCAGAGCAAACCUCAUGUUUGCAACUUUCCCCAUUUCCCAUGGCUGGGGACCCUGUGUGCAGGUUUCUGAGGACCCUGAAGCCCUUGAUGAAUUCUUAGCAGGCAGACUUGACUGUAGCUGCCUUGAUGGGCGGGGUGCCAGGCUGAGGCCCACCGGUCAGCCUCUGGCUCAUUCUUUACCACUUUCUCUCCAGAUCCCCUUCUUAGGAGCUGGGAUUAAGAUCCAUGAGAAAAGGGUGUCAGAUAACUUGCGACCCUUCCAUGACCGGAUGGAGGAAUGUUUCAAGAACCUGAAAAUGAAGGUGGAGAAGGAGUACGGUGUCCGAGAGAUGCCUGACUUUGACGACAGGAGAGUGGGCCGCCCCAGGUCUAUGCUGCGCUCAUACAGACAGAUGUCCAUCAUCUCUCUGGCUUCCAUGAAUUCUGACUGCAGCACCCCCAGCAAGCCCAACUCAGAGAGCUUUGACCUGGAAUUAGCAUCACCCAAGACGCCGAGAGUGGAGCAGGAGGAACCGAUCUCCCCGGGGAGCACCCUGCCUGAGGUCAAGCUGCGGAGGUCCAAGAAGAGGACAAAGAGAAGCAGCGUAGUGUUUGCGGAUGAGAAAGCAGCUGCAGAGUCGGACCUGAAGCGGGUGAGUGGCUGAGGCAGAUUGCCUCUCCAGCGCUGUUAGCACAUUUCCACUACAUGCUGGGCACAAAACCCAGGGCUUCCAGAUAUGGGCUUCCUGAAGCCUGCCACUGCGGUGCUAUGGGUAUUGCAGAGGCGGCACCUGAGGAGCUGAGAGGUGAAGUGCUUACUCGUGCCCAGGCAGCUGGGGUGGCUGGGACAUGACAGAGCUGGGAGUUGAGCCCUGACCUUUGCACUUCAGAGCCUGUGUGUAUCCUUUCCACCAUCACACAGGGCUUUUCCAGGCUGGGGAGAAUCCACCUGUUCUCCCAUCAAAAGGGAGAGCAGCCCACUUGGUACUGAGCUAGGUGUUUCUAUAGCCUCCAGCCCCAGGCCUAUUCUAACCACUGACGUCUCAGACCCCUGCAAGCCCCUCCUGUGUGCCAGGAGUCCAGGUGGGGAUACAGAGAUGAAAUCUCACUGUCCUGGCUUUGAGAGUGUUGGUCUUGUAAACUAACGAUUAUUUUAAAAUGAGACUUGGUUUCAGACAGCCCUGGAUUCAAUCUUAGUUUCCCCCUGGAAAAGAGGUUUGUUGGAAGUGUUCUGGGAACCUGGGACUGGGAGAUGGAUUAACUGCCCUGGCAAGGGAGGGGUACCAGAUGAAAGAGCAAGGGGCCAACCAAGAUGCCUUGGUGAAGAAAGGGCCCUCCAGAAACUUCCCAGUGGGCCUCGCAGGCUACUCUUGCGUGGAUGGAUAAGAAUGGAAAUGUCUUCUGUGUUUGUCGAUUCUAGGGGACACCAUUUACAUGAUAGUCUAAAUGAAUGUCCCCCACCCCCGCCUGUAGUUGUGUAGUGCGCAACCUGUGCAACCAUAUGUGGCAGGCUGGCAUGGAAUGGUAUAAUACAGAAUAAAUGAACUUGGAGCCAGCUUCAUAGAAACCAUGCCACGCCCUCCUCACUGAUCUUUCAGAGCCCAGAUCUGCCUCAUGCUAAGCCUCUGUCUUUGUGUGUGUGUGUGUGUGUGUCUGGUGUAUUCCUCCAGCUUUCCAGGAAGCAUGAGUUCAUGAGUGACACCAACCUCUCAGAGCAUGCGGCCAUCCCCCUCAAGGCGUCUGUCCUCUCUCAAAUGAGCUUUGCCAGCCAGUCCAUGCCUACCAUCCCAGGUAUGCCCCCUGCUGCCACCAGCAUGAGGGAGUACAGAUAGUGCAGGCCACCAGCCUUGUGGGUGGAGGAUGGAUGGGAACUGUGUCUACACAACAAAGUGGGCCAGGCAUCCUGGAGUGAGAGGCUCUGCUCAUAGCCACCCACCCUCUAAUCUCUCCCCACACCCACCACUUCCUGGGGGUGACACCAUCCCAGCAAGCUCCAGCAGGGACAGGGGAGAGGCCUGCUGUCCCUUGGGCCCUCAGGAUUCACUGAGCAUCCAUUUGUCACACUAGGUGGCCCCUUGUUCUCAGUUAGCCAGGCCUCCCCAGGGGCCAGAAGUUUGCCCUUGGUAUGUCCCUAAGACCUGUGGCUUCUUUGUGGACCUGGAAGACUCUUUCUGGCUUUACGAAAAUGGCCACCACAUCUUAUAGCUGCAAAGUGUUGGGUGCAUAGAUGCUACCUAUCUGCCACCGUCGUCACUCACUCACUGUCCAGUGAGGAGGUUAGAGCACAACCGAUGGUCCUAACUCACAGAAGGGAAUCUGAGGCCCUAACAGGGGACAUGGCAUGCCUGAGAGCACUCCAUCUGGCAGGCAGAAGUCCUUGACGUCUGCUGCUAUGUGCCUGGCUGUGUGUGCUAAGGGCCAGGUCAGAAGGGAACAAGACAGGACCAGUGCUGCCCUGUGGAACUCAGCAGGCCGAUCAUGGUGAAGACGCUUGCUGUUUCCUGAACGUUGAGGGUGCCAGGCCCUGCGCCAACUGCUACUCCUUCAUUAUUUCAUUUACUCCACUGCGCAUACCCAGGAAGUAGUUCAUGUUAUCCACCCCAUUGUAUGGAUGAGGAAACUGGGGCACUGAGAACAUCACUCUCUUGCCUAUCACCAGCCAGCAAAUGGCAGAGGCUGAGUUCAGACCCAGGCCCUCUUCCCUGGAACAGGCACCUACCCACUGCCCCGCCACCGCCCCCAGGAUAGCCUGAACACAGCUGCAACAUUUGGCCCAAGCCAUUUCACUGGUAUCUGCUCAGCAGGUCUCACCACACCCUGGCGGUCUGGGCUCUUUCUCCCAUUUGGCCAAUGUCAAAACCAGCAGUCAGAGAGUAACUAAUUUUUCAUGUCUCUGUGACGCCAAGCUGGGGCUGUAACCACUAGGUCAUCUGGCCCCUCCACCAGGUGACACGUGGGUUUGAGACUCUCUUCCCACUGUCUCCUGCAAUGGGGAGAGAAAUCCAGGGUGUUGGUGUUGGGAGCUGGAGGAAGAGUAAGCUCACACUGUCCCCUGCCUUGGAGCAGAAGGUUCUGUUUCCCGGGGAUGUCAGGGCUUUGGGGCAAGGUUUUGACCAGGAGCCAGGAGGCUGAACCCUUGUCUGUAGGGUGGGCAAUCUUCACUUCAAGAGGACAGCUUCAAUGUCCCCUGGCAUGGCAGGAAAUAGGCAUCCUGCCUCCUGCUUGGCACAUACAAUGUGUGAUCCCUGGAUGCUGGCUCUGUCCCCCAGCCCUCCCCCUGUCUACCUCCCCCAAGGCACUGCCCCUCCUCUACCCACCCAUUCACACCCCAGCUCUGCUCUCCUUCUAGCCCUGGCGCUCUCAGUGGCAGGCAUCCCUGGGUUGGAUGAGGCCAACACAUCUCCCCGCCUCAGCCAGACCUUCCUCCAACUCUCAGAUGGUGACAAGAAGACACUCACACGGAAGAAGGUCAAUCAGUUCUUCAAGACAAUGCUGGCCAGCAAAUCGGCUGAAGAAGGCAAACAGAUCCCAGACUCGCUGUCCACGGACCUGUGAGCUGCUGCUGACUAGGGCUGCAUGGGAGAGCCAGGGAGGGGAGUUUCUGGAAGAGGAAAGCCAUGCGUGGAACAUCGAAGCCUCAGAGAGUGGGAGACUGUCCCCAUCAGUUGUCCUUACUUAGAGGAGACAGAGAGGCCAAUCAGGUCCCAGAGCUUGAGUGCUAACAAGCCCAGCAUCCCCUGGGGCUGUGAUCAUGGUGGAUGAGGAAGCCUCAAUGUAGAUUCCUGAACUCAAGGUACCAGCAAGAAUGCCUUCUCCCAGUGUGCUCUCCCCAACAUCCUAGGCACAGCUUUCAUAACCCAGUUUCUUAGGUGUAAGAAACUGUUUUUAUCUCAUUUAUUAAGUCUCAGAACUUAACAGAAAAGGAAGCCUUUUAAAUAUUCUUUUUAAUUUUAUUUUAGAUUAACAGUUUUGUACUUUACAUUUUUUUAUACAACCAACCAGUUUCUUUUCUAGCCAAUCAUCUCUGAAGAGUUGCUGUUUCCUACUGACAAUAAAAAAUGUUCUCUUGGUUCG
rnacentral:sRNA from 1 species